rnacentral:ribozyme from 1 species
AACGAACCAAAAGGAUAUGGAGAAGAGAGGAAAAAAGGUGUGUAAGCAGAUCACGUCGCCGUGUGGGGGAAACGAUUUUUUCUCUUUUUUUUUUUUCUUUCUUCGUUUGUGUUCUUCUUUGU